UACGAACCGUCCAAACGUUAUUCGGAUUCAUUGGGCUUAAAGGGUACGUAGGCGGCCCUGUUAGUCGGGUGUGAAAUCCCUCGGCUCAACCGAGGAACUGCGCCCGAUACUGCAGGGCUUGAGGGAGACAGAGGUAGGCGGAACUGAUGGUGGAGCGGUGAAAUGCGUUGAUAUCAUCAGGAACACCAGUGGCGAAAGCGGCUUACUGGGUCUCUUCUGACGCUGAGGUACGAAAGCUAGGGGGGCGAACGGG
rnacentral:rRNA from 1 species